UCCUCAUGAUGUAAAAACGAGCCCUUUGUUCUUUAACAAGCCUAGUACACUUUCUAGCAAAAGCACACUUCUUCUGAGUAGUAUCAUUCAUGAGAAGUGUAGUUGAAGAAUGGUUCCUUGAUGACCCUUCUUUCUUUGACAACUUCCACUUCUCAUCAAUGUAGAAAGGUGGGGCACUCUCACUGCUGCUACAUGUGGAUGCAGCAUGAGUAACAGAAGCCAUUUUGGAGAACAAGUUAAGAGAAAAAUUGUGAAGUGUUUUGGAAAAGAGAGAAACAAGUUU
rnacentral:lncRNA from 1 species